GACGAACGCUGGCGGCGUGCUUAACACAUGCAAGUCGAACGGAAAGGCCCUGCUUUUGUGGGGUGCUCGAGUGGCGAACGGGUGAGUAACACGUGAGUAACCUGCCCUUGACUUUGGGAUAACUUCAGGAAACUGGGGCUAAUACCGGAUAGGAGCUCCUGCUGCAUGGGGGGGGUUGGAAAGUUUCGGCGGUUGGGGAUGGACUCGCGGCUUAUCAGCUUGUUGGUGGGGUAGUGGCUUACGAAGGCUUUGACGGGUAGCCGGCCUGGGAGGGUGGACGGCCACAUGGGGACUGCGAGACGGCGCAGACUCCUACGGGAGGCAGCAGUGGGGAAUAUUGCACAAUGGGCGGAAGCCUGAUGCAGCAACGCCGCGUGCGGGAUGACGGCCUUCGGGUUGUAAACCGCUUUCGCCUGUGACGAAGCGUGAGUGACGGUAAUGGGUAAAGAAGCACCGGCUAACUACGUG
rnacentral:rRNA from 1 species